GACAGAGGUGCCGAGCGUUAGGCGGAAUCACUGGGCUUAAAGCGUGUGUAGGCGGGCGGGCAAGUACCUUGUGAAAUCCCACGGCUCAACCGUGGAACGGCUGGGUAUACUGCCUGUCUUGAGCCAACUAGGGGCGAGCGGAACAGACGGUGGAGCGGUGAAAUGCGUUGAGAUCGUGAGGAACGCCCGUGGCGAAAGCGGGCUCCUGGGUCCCGCCUGACGCUGAGACGCGAAAGCCAGGGGAGCGAACGGG
rnacentral:rRNA from 1 species